UAUAAGGCAGGCGGACCCCAGAGAAAGAUGUGGCUGUCAUAGAGGCUAGACUCAACUGCCAUGUUAGGAUGAUGGAUGAAGACUAGGAGCUUUAGAGAAGGGUAAAAACAGCGUUAAUUUGUGGCUGGUGUACAUAGCUUCAGCCAAACAAAAACUUCACAGAAAUAAAACAGGCAGGACGGGAAUGGAUCAAGAACAGAGAUAGAAUUAGGAAUCAUGGAAAACUGCAAAAAAAAAAAAAAAAAAAGGUAAAGGAGAGGCUGAAGCGCAUACAUCAGCAGAAUGUGUCCCUAUCACCUAAGGAAUCAGAAGAGGAUAGACCUGGCACCCCUGAACAAGAAGUGAUGGAAGAGAGCCCCUAGCUGGAGAAGAAGGUGCCCAGAGGGAUCCAUGUUUACUCAGCUUAUCAACUCAAACCUGCUGUGGGGUUGUGAGUCUUUGACUGUCAUUUACUGUGGUCAUAUCAAGGACAAAAGGCCAGAAACGGAUCAGAAAGCCUCAAAACGCUGCCCAGUUUAGUCCUGCCUGUAAGGACUCCAGAUCAUGAAGCCAAGUUCAGCCUGACCAGAGCUGUACAGGAAGACCUGGUUUACAACACAGUGCUGAGCUUCUUGGAGUCAAGGUCACCACUCUCAAGUUUACAACAGUUUCAUCACCUGAUCAAGAAUCCCUCUACAUAUUAGCAAUAAAGGCGCAGCUUUUCGUGUUUCCUUUCAUCACUUUGCCUCUCCCAAGAAGGUGUCAGAGUGGAUCGAUGCCUCUGGAUUGGUGCUGGAAGAUUCCAUGAGCUGAGCAACUUUCCUCUGAAAUACUGGUCUGCCUCACCUCAGUCUCAGAACAAUGGAGGCAGGGGAUCAUGGGUUGAAACCUCUGGUACUGUGAGCCCACCUCCAAGCUGUUUGUGCCAGGCAUCCAUUGAUAGAGAUGUAGGUGGCUUCCAUAUCUGGACUAUCAUGAACAGUGCUUCCAUGAACAUGGGAGUAGAGGUAUCACCAAGAUUCUCAUCUCUCUUCCUUUGAAUAUAUACCCAGAAGUAAGGAUUUUACUCAGCUUUGAAAAGGAGGAACCCCUGACGUUUGCAGCAAUAUGAACGAAGCUGGAACAUUAUGCUAAGUGAAAAAAAAGCCAGGCAAAGAAAACUACUGCAUUACCUCACUCAUAUGUAGAAUCUAAAAUAAUCAGACUCAAAAUCAGAGAGUAGAAGCUGGAGGAAGAUGGAAAUGCAGAAAUGUUGAUCGAGGGGUACAAAAUUUCAGUUAUGGAAAAUGAAGAAGUUCUGAGACUCAAUAUGUAGCAUGGCGACUAUAGUUGAUAAUACUGAUCCAUGAGCUUGAAAUGAAAUUUGCUAAGGGGGUAGCUUCUUCUUCUUCUUUUUUUUUUUUUUUUUUUUUUUUUUUUUUUUUUUUUUGGUGAUACUGGGGAUUGAAUCCAGAGCCUUGAACAAGCUAGGCAAGUGCUCUAUCAUUGGAUUACAUCCCCAGACCUAAUGGGAUGUCUCCUAAAUGCACACACACAUACACCACAAAGUAAAAAAAGAAAAAGAAACAAAUGGUAACUAUUAUAUAAUGUAUAUGUUAAUUAUCUUGAUUACUGUGAUGAUUUCAUAAUAUACAUAUAUCAAAACAUCAAGUACUAUGCCUUAAAUAUAUAUAGUUUUUAUCAUUUCUACCAUAAUAAAACCGAAGAAUAUCAAUGUUUACCCCCAAUAGGCCUGGCUCUUGAUAUGUUACUAGUAUUUUAAGGAAUUUUUUUAAAAUGCUGUCAAUAAAAUGCUAUUUGAAGACUAAUAUUAUUAAGGACUGAGAAAUCCUAUUUUGGUAAUCAAAUCAUAAAAUUUGAACUUCUUUGCUCCAUUUUCCUGUUGAAUAAAAAUUCCCUUCUCACUA